UACGAAGGGGGCUAGCGUUGUUCGGAUUCAUUGGGCGUAAAGGGUGCGUAGGCGGCGCGGUAAGUCGGGUGUGAAAUCUCGGGGCUUAACUCCGAAACUGCAUUCGAUACUGCCGUGCUUGAGGACUGGAGAGGAGACUGGAAUUUACGGUGUAGAGGUGAAAUUCGUAGAUAUCGGGAGGAACACCGGUGGCGAAGGCGGCGACCUGGGUCGAGACUGACGCUGAGGCGCGAAAGCGUGGGGAGCAAACAGG
rnacentral:rRNA from 1 species